GAUUCUGGCUCAGAACGAACGCUGGCGGCGCGUUUAAGCAUGCAAGUCGAGCGGCAAGGGCCUUCGGGCCCCUAGAGCGGCGGACGGGUGAGUAACACGUGGACAAUCUGCCCCCCGGCCCGGGAUAGCCCAGGGAAACCUGGAUUAAUACCGGAUGAGACGGGACCUGCGAUGGCGGGAUCCGGGAAAGGCGCUACGGCGCCGCCGGGGGAUGAGUCUGCGUCCCAUUAGCUAGACGCGGGGUAACGGCCCACCGUGGCGACGAUGGGUAGCCGGCCUGAGAGGGUGGACGGCCACAUUGGAACUGAGUCACGGUCCAGACUCCUACGGGAGGCAGCAGCUAAGAAUCUUCCGCAAUGGGCGAAAGCCUGACGGAAGCGACGCCGCGUGAACGAAGAAGGCCGUGAGGUUGUAAAGUCCUUUUCGGGAGGGGGAACAACCGUGGCAGGGAAUGGCCGCGGGAUGACGUGAAUCCCGGAAUAAGCCCCGGCUAACUACGUGCCAGCCGCCGC
rnacentral:rRNA from 1 species